CCACCACCACCACGCACGCCGCCCAAAACUGGCAAAUGCAUCUAUUUCAUCCCCUUUGUUUGCACCGCAGCGUUGGCUGUGGCUGGCCUCUUCUUGUCGGCUCUUCUCGCCUACAAAUAUUUUCAUGCGCAGAAAAGCUUAAGGGCGCAAGUCAAAGAAUCUGCCAGACAAGUUUCUGAAACAAAAUCUAAACAUCUUUAUACCCACCUUGAAAAACAACAGCAAGAUUGUUCAGCCUAUGAGUCAAUUAGCGGCCAGCAUUUGUAAAUAAUCGCUGAUUUUUUGAACUGUUCAAUAUAGAGAACCAUAUGUUUACGAUACUAGUUUGCCAAUAUGAACACAUUAUGCUUCUCACGUUGCAAAGUAUUUCCAUUAUACAUGUUAAAAAAAGUCAUGAAUCACAUUUUAUAAUGCCCAGUUAUGAGGGUUUCCACCUUUAACACAGACUAAACCCAGACACAUUUCCAAAUCAGCCUACCUAGGUCUAUUGUCACACCCGCGCCUCUGACUUGCGGCCGUUACGUCCGCAAAUUUGCGCGCGUUAUAAAUUGCAUUAUUAUUAUAUACUUGUGGUGAACAUGCAAACAAAAAACAUGCUCUUGUAAUAUAUGCAUUGUCUUUGAAACUGAUUCAUCCACACCACAGACAGCUUUCUUUAGAGCCUCGUCUCAAAAGUGUUAGACCAGAGGACGUCAAAAGGCAAACAGCACAAAGGACAUUGAGAGAUCGGGGUGACCAGCUACAUCAUUGGGAUCUCUCUUGCCAGUAUCAAAAUAUAAAAGUAGGUUUUACUCUUUCUGCCCAUAAAACAGAAUAUGUGAAGAUGUUAAAACACCAAACUGAAACCUUUUGAUUCCCGCCAUGUUGACACAGGUGGCAACCAGUCAUUCACACUGUCAAGCCCUUGAGUAACUCGUGCUGAGAUUAAACAGACCCUCCUCCUGUUUUGCAUAAUCUACGUUAAAUUAGGAAUAAUUGUACCACUGUGAUAAUCUGGUGACUUAGCAACGUCAUGACUGUGCUCAGCUUCUGCACAAGAUGUAAUCAACAAGGUUAUUAUCAGAUGGUAUUGCUAAAUAAAAAGUGCAGGCUGUUAGCAGGGCAUUCAGUGGGAGCUCUGGCCCAGUGGUGUGAGCUCUAGAUUCUUAUGGCAGGUGCAAGUCUAUUCACAGAAUGACUGUGGAGGACGCCUAUAGACCGACUCGUCGCUCCCACCAUUUGCGCGUCGAAUCCUCGGCUUAUGACGCGAUUGCUAAAAAGUGGUCUGUGUUGAUGGAAACAGUAUAUACGUUUUGCAAGAUCUACGUAUAUCAAUCAA